GGGCUCUCUCUUUCUCCCCCCAGUAACGGGCGAGGAUGCAUGAGAGGUGACACGGCGGAGGAAGGGAAAUUCCAAAGUCUGGGGGUGGUGGGAAGGCUCCAGUGGAAAUGCCAAACGGAGUGUGUGUGAAUAACGGCUCAGCAAUUUAACCCCAUCAGGACCAGGAAAGAGCCUGUGCAAGAUUUUUCCACAGUUCUCUCUAUCAGAGUUAUCUUCCAUAACAUUUAUAAUCCUUUCCACAAAGUAUAGAAAGAAUUGUCAACACUAUGGAAGAGGAAAAGGUCUUUAUGAGCCCCAAUCUAGAGAUGCUGUGAAUUAGAGAUGCUGUGUUUGCGGGGCCAAAGGCAGCCUCAAGAAUGGAGCAAUGGUUUCCAAUCUUGGGGUCCUCAGAUGUUCUUGGACUAAAACUCCCAGAAGCCUGCACCACUA